UACGUAGGGUCCGAGCGUUGUCCGGAAUUACUGGGCGUAAAGAGCUCGUAGGUGGUUUGUCGCGUUGUUCGUGAAAACUCACAGCUUAACUGUGGGCGUGCGGGCGAUACGGGCAGACUUGAGUACUGCAGGGGAGACUGGAAUUCCUGGUGUAGCGGUGGAAUGCGCAGAUAUCAGGAGGAACACCGGUGGCGAAGGCGGCUCUCUGGAACGCAACUGACGCUGAGACGCGAAAGCGUGGGGAGCAAACAGG
rnacentral:rRNA from 1 species